rnacentral:lncRNA from 1 species
AUUCACAUAUGCGUUUACAUGUACAUGAUAUAUCCCGAACAAAACUUCAGCGCAUGCGCAGUGCCAAAUUCAGAACUGGAGAAAGUCAUGGCCGUAAUGGCACCGGAGCUACCAUGAGCAAAAGUGUAGUUUUUGCCUUGAUGACGUAUUUAAUAAGAAAGUUCUUCUUUUUUUUAGGAAUUAUUUAGUUAGUAUCCAGGCUCCUCCACUUAUCAGUUUGUAAGAUUUAAAUAAACAUGCACAUUCGUAAGAUAUAAAAGAUAUGUAAACAUACGCAUCAUGACGUGUGCAAGGUACGUUUAGAUCUGAUUGAGAAAACAGUCUAAUUAAAGUGUUUACAUGCUUAAUUUUUCCCCUUUGAAUGAACUACUUAAGUCUUCAAUCGAAUUUUCAUUCAGAUCGAGCUUAUUUGGGGCGUUUGAGUUGUUUAUAUGAAGACUUUUCAGUCAUCAGUCUGUUUACUGUUUAACAUAUUAUUUGGUUGGAUGUAAACAUGUAAGGAUUGUUGAGGACAGGUGCUUUUGUAAAUGACUAGAUGUUUUAUUGUGCCUGCCUGGCUCACGAUAAAAUGAGCAAAAAGACUGCAAACCGAGCCAUAAAUGGAGACCAGAAUAUCACUGAGACUUGAGUUGGAUCUUUUGACUUGAACUAGUAAGCAACCACCUUAAAAAUGCCAUGAAAGUUCUUUAGGAAAUAGUGGGAAAGUUCAGCAUUUUCCAUCACACAAUAAGAUUUUCUGGAGUAAUUGUAAAUGUUCAGUUAUUAAAGUUGGACAUUUCCAUAAAUGAAGCACAUAAGCCCUAGGGACAGGGGCAGUGUUUUUCGAUAUGGACCAAAGGAAAAGUAGUACAGAUAGAUUUUUUGGGGUGAUACUGUUGCCGCAGUCUGCAUAAGCCUCAACUGCUAUCUUUGGUCCAUUCACUGCCGUCUAAUUGGGCGUCACUGAACCAUAAAGCCAAAUGCAUUGAAUUAACGUCUGAAGUGCAUUAUUCUGUAAUUUCCCCCUUUCUCCCAGGGCUUGGCUCUUGAGCAGAUGGAGAUAUGGCUUCCUGUUACAUAAUCCCACUAUUAUAAAUUUUGACUUCAUUUGGGGUUUCCUGUGUGCGCACACAAGCUCCUGCACAUUUCCCCAUUCUGUUCUUGUGCAAGGCCUAGUCUACAUCCAGCAGCCCAGAGACUAUGGCUACUACAGUAUGUUGUCAAAGCAGAUGAGAUCAGCUUCCCAGCUGCUUCCUUCCCCCCCCUUCAGACUCAAGUGUAAGCGGCUGUCGGGAUUUAGAGAGAAAGAGACCGAGGGGCCUCCGCGAGGGUCGGCCUCGACUGUAAAUGUCGGAAAGCGAACACAGGCCUUCGUAACAAAGUGGAAUCUGAUAUAAUUUACCCCAGGCUGCACUGUUUGAUCUUCACCUACUUCAGGGUGCUUGUCAGAGCCGUGGAGGGGGGACUGAUGCAGCUUAUGGGCCGAAAAGUCGGCGUUUAUAAUCUGACGUCAUGUGCGUUGAAAAGUAUUUUCAUGUGUGGGUUGACAUUUUGAAAGUUGCGGAUUGUAUGCAAGCAUUGCUGCUGUUUUCUUUUCAUGCUUCCUGCAUAAAUGUAGUCAUAUUUAGUUACCUCCAAGGACUCUUGUAAUGUAAAACACUGCCUUCACUUCAUUCCUCAUUGGCCAAUCUAGGCAUCUUGAAUGUUUGCAUUGCUAUGUAACGUAGCCUUUGCUAUGUAACGAAAACUAGAUGUUCAAUAGGGCAAUAUAGAGCCAUUUUAUUUUAUAUACACGAAGAAACUGACCCUACACAAGAUUUUUUCACAAUUAUUUUUUUUUUAGCAUUUAGCUUUGGUUGGAGUAGCUUAGCGGUUAGCGCUCAUGCACUGACACAUGGCGCUCAUGUUGAGUUUUUUGAUCCCAGUCCUCUGUGUUCAUCAUUUUCUGGCCUGUUAAUUAUUUAUUUAUUUAUUUACUUUUGUUGUAUUUAAACAUUAAACAUCAAAUCAAAUUACAUAAUCAUCUCAGAUCUGUUUUUUUUUUUGUCAUUUUUUUAUUUUUGCAUUUUUAAGAAUAAUAUAAUUAUAAUAUUAUUAUAUACUUAUAAUAUAUUAUAAUAUAUAAAUAUAGAGCCAUUUUAUUUUAUAUACACGAAGAAACUGACCCUACACAAGAUUUUUUCUACAAUUAUUUUUUUUUUAGCAUUUAGCUUUGGUUGGAGUAGCUUAGCGGUUAGCGCUCAUGCACUGACACAUGGCGCUCAUGUUGAGUUUUUUGAUCCCAGUCCUCUGUGUUCAUCAUUUUCUGGCCUGUUAAUUAUUUAUUUAUUUAUUUACUUUUGUUGUAUUUAAACAUUAAACAUCAAAUCAAAUUACAUAAUCAUCUCAGAUCUGUUUUUUUUUUUUGCAUUUUUUUAUUUUUGCAUUUUUUAAGAAUAAUAUAAUUAUAAUAUUAUUAUAUACUUAUAAUAUAUUAUAAUAUAUAAUAAUAUAAU